CGGUGUUUAACUGGCGUGAUGUGGGACGUCCUACCGGUGGGCUUAGCCUCGCGAGGGGCGGCCCAACUAAUAUCCCGUCGCGGUGCUCUUUACUGAGUGUCGAGUCGGGCCGGUACGUUUACUUUGAACAAAUUAGAGUGCUUAAAGCAGGCUAUCCUCGCCUGAAUACUGCGUGCAUGGAAUAAUGGAAUAGGACCUCGGUUCUAUUUUGUUGGUUUUCGGAACCCCGAGGUAAUGAUUAAUAGGGACAGAUGGGGGCAUUCGUAUUGCGACGUUAGAGGUGAAAUUCUUGGAUCGUCGCAAGACGGACAGAAGCGAAAGCAUUUGCCAAAAAUGUUUUCAUUAAUCAAGAACGAAAGUUAGAGGUUCGAAGGCGAUCAGAUACCGCCCUAGUUCUAACCAUAAACGAUGCCAGCUAGCGAUCCGCCGAAGUUCCUCCGAUGACUCGGCGGGCAGCUUCCGGGAAACCAAAGCUUUUGGGUUCCGGGGGAAGUAUGGUUGCAAAGCUGAAACUUAAAGGAAUUGACGGAAGGGCACCACCAGGAGUGGAGCGCGCGGCUUAAUUUGACUCAACACGGGAAACCUCACCAGGCCCAGACACCGGAAGGAUUGACAGAUUGAUAGCUCUUUCUUGAUUCGGUGGGUGGUGGUGCAUGGCCGUUUUUAGUUGGUGGAGCGAUUUGUCUGGUUAAUUCUGAUAACGAACGAGACUCUAGCCUGCUAAAUAGGCGUACCUUAUGGUAUCGCGAAGGCCCCCGGCUUCGGCCGGUGGGUUUUUACUACCAACGUACAAACAAAUCUUCUAGAGGGACAGGCGG
rnacentral:rRNA from 1 species